UUAGAUACCCUAUUAUUAAAAAUGUAAAUUUUUUUACUUAAUUAGUAUUAGUUAUGUUCUUGAAAAUUAAAAAAUUUGGCGGUAUUUUAGUCUUUUCAGAGGAACCUGUUCUAUAAUCGAUAGUCCACGAUUAGAUGCACUUUAUUUAUUAGUUUAUAUAUCGUCGUAGUUUAAAUAUUUUAAUAGAAUUAUAAAUAUUUAAAAUUUUUUAUUAAAAAAUAAAUCAGAUCAAGGUGUAGUUUAUAAUAAAGAAGAAAUGGGUUACAAUAAAUUUAUUUUAAAAUAAUUUUUGUUAAAAAAAUUUGAAUUUGGAUUUGAGAGUAAUUUUUUAGAUUUUUUUAAGAUGAUUAAAGCUCUAAAAUAUGUACACAUCGCCCG
rnacentral:rRNA from 1 species